rnacentral:rRNA from 1 species
UUCUGAAGCCAUGACCACCUGGAGCUGUGGUUUAGCUUUCAGAAGCUAAACUGAGUUGGGUUUAGUUAGUAGUUGUAUGGGAGACCUCCAAGAAAAUCUCAGUGUGCUGUGGAAA